ACUGCAAAAGUGCACUAGUCUAUAUCUCUUGAGGAUGCUCCGGUGUCGGGAGAAACGUACGUCGAGUGGUCUUUGGGUCUAUGUGGUGC